CUUCCGUUAGUAAAGUAAUCAAAAAUACCCUUAUUUCUAAGGGUGCUCCAUAGUGGCAAUCCAAAUCUUACAUGGUCACAUUUGGGUGAGCCAUCUUCUUCCCCUUCCAUUUCUUAGCCCAAUGGAGGUUCCAAAAUUUUUUCCUUUCAAAUCUCUGAAUCUAAGUAGUUGAAGGAUGAGCACUUCACAAGCUUUUUCUUUCAAAUCUUCUUCACUAUCCAGUAGUUGAAGGUUGAGCAGUUGCUUAAUCAACUCUGACACUCACAAGCAUAUCGUCCUCACCAAGCAACAGUCAUGUGCACGAAUCGCCCAUUUUUAAUCUAGCAGCCAGCACAACCAACGGUAAUUUUCAAAAAUUGCCCAGUCCUAAUCAAGCAGAAAUCACAAGCGACCAUGAACAUCACACAGUGUCGGUUCCUAAUCAACCAGAAAUCACAAGCAACGUUAAUUUUGAAGGAUCUCCCAGUCCUAGUCUAGCACCCAGCAGCACAAGCAAAGGUGAAUCGCCCAGUCCUAAUACAACAGCCAACACAAGCAAUGGUAAUGUUCAAGAAUCGCCCAGUCCUGUAAUAAGCUUUUCCUUCUCUUGUUAGAUUUGGAGAUUAACAGUAAUUUUGUCCAGAUUUGAAAGGAAAAUAAAAAUUGGAACCUCCAUUUCAAGGCAUGAGGGCAAGAAGAAAUGAAUGGGGAAGAAGAUGGUGAGGUGGCAUGCCACGUGGCAUCUACCUCACCCAAAUGUCAGACCAUGUAGGAUUUGGAUUGCCACUAUAGAGCACCCUUAGAAAUAAGGGUAUUUUUGAUUACUUUACUAACGAGAGGGGUAGAUUUAAACCUAUAGUAUAACAGAGGACAUACAUGGAUAAUUUUUAGUAGUACAGGGGUAUAUGCAGCUCUUUUUCCUAAAAGUAAUGUAUGAAAGUUGUAGAUAAGUUGUAAAUAAGUGUAUACUAUAUAAUUAGUUGUAUGAAAUUUAUUUUUAGUAUGUAUGUUGUUAUAGAUAUAUUAAUUUG
rnacentral:lncRNA from 1 species